rnacentral:rRNA from 1 species
GACGAACGCUGGCGGCGUGCCUAAUACAUGCAAGUAGAACGCUGAAGGAGGAGCUUGCUUCUCUGGAUGAGUUGCGAACGGGUGAGUAACGCGUAGGUAACCUGCCUGGUAGCGGGGGAUAACUAUUGGAAACGAUAGCUAAUACCGCAUAAUAGUAGAUGUUGCAUGACAUUUGCUUAAAAGGUGCAAUUGCAUCACUACCAGAUGGACCUGCGUUGUAUUAGCUAGUUGGUGGGGUAACGGCUCACCAAGGCGACGAUACAUAGCCGACCUGAGAGGGGGGUCGGCCACACUGGGACUGUGACACGGCCCAGACUCCUACGGGAGGCAGCAGUAGGGAAUCUUCGGCAAUGGACGGAAGUCUGACCGAGCAACGCCGCGUGAGUGAAGAAGGUUUUCGGAUCGUAAAGCUCUGUUGUAAGAGAAGAACGAGUGUGAGAGUGGAAAGUUCACACUGUGACGGUAUCUUACCAGAAAGGGACGGCUAACUACGUG